rnacentral:tRNA from 1 species
GGUAGCGUGGCCGAGCGGUCUAAGGCGCUGGUUUUAGGCACCAGUCAUUUCGAUGGCGUAGGUUCGAAUCCCACCGCUGCCA